ACCCCAAGGUGUAGCGCUCCCAGGUCAAAAGGUGGCAUUCCUCCCAGGAGGCCCCUGGGAUGGGGCAGGACCACUCACAGGGGAGAGAGGGGGACUGGAUGGCCCUCUAGACUGUUUCCCUCCUUGGAGACAGCCCCCCUCUAGUGAGUAGCCUGGCCCGGCUGUGCCUUAGGAGCGACCUGUGCAGCGCCUGUGCGCACCACUCAGCUCCGCAGGGUGGGGCAUGUGUCAGCGUGACCCUGUUUCACGGGGGUGGGGUGAGACAUCUUGGCGUCGUGUGGUCAUUGUAUGACAUGCUCAGGCGUGCGGUCUGUCCACCAGGGCAGGUCUGUGCAGAAGGCACAGCAUGAACCAUGUCCAGUGUUCUGCAUGGGAACAGGGGAGGAGGCAGCACACAGGGAAAUGAGUGCCCUGGUCCAGGGAGGGCUCUGGGGACCUUCAAGGCAAAAGAACAUGCCGUCCCCCCAGCCCCUUAGCCCUGGAAACUAGCCGGGGGUAGGGGUGGGGGGCUGUGCUUGGCCAGCAGGAGCUGAAGCCCAGCACCCCUCUGUGUGUGUGUGUUGACGGUGGGUGGAAUGGUCCCCUUCUCAGAUCCAACUCCGAACUUUGGUCCCUUUCCCGCUGCCCUUCCCCCUGCCUGGCACUUCUAGACUGGCCGCAGCCCGCCCUGUCUCCAUGGUUACCACUGCUUGGUUACUGGUAGGAGGCGGAGCUCAGGGCAGACUGAGCCAAUAGGAGGACUGAGGGGGAGGGGCGAGGUCGCAGCCCAGGUCCCUGGGGGAAGGGACUGUUCCCAGCCUGUCCAGAGCCCAGAGUUGGUCUAAGGCCAAGGGGAGGGGGGGUCAGCAAACCAUAGGGACACCCCCACUCCCUCCAACCCCCUCCCCCCUGCUUAGUAUCUGGACACAGCUCCCUCCCCUUGCCCCACCAGAGCUCUUUCUCCUAAUGGCUCAUUAAUUAUUCAGAAACCAGCCUGGAGGAGGGUGGGACUGGAGCACCGCCCUUUGUCCUCCAGAGUGUGGGGGGCAGCCUAGGUGGGGCUGGAAGGGCCAGGGGAAGGGGUAGCAGAGAAGGUAGGGGAGGUGGGGGGAGCCUGAGGUGCCCACCAGGAAAGGGAUGGGCGCUAUGCAGGAGCAGGGCUGGGGGCCUAGCCAGGGUGGGAGUGGUCUCCAGGCUGAUGAGCCUGCACAGGGUGAGGGCACCAGCCUUCCUCUGGUGGGACUCCGGUGUUGGCCAGGAUGUGGGGCUUGCCCAGAAGCCCCCCACCCCCAUCCUGGCACCCUUAGGGCCUCCCCACAGGAGUGCCAGGGCAGAGGAGGAGGAUGGCCUGACUGCCAGCACCCCAAGCCUGCGCCCUUGGGCCCGUCUCCCCAGCCGGUGGUCUCCCUGUUUCACUCUCCUAGUAAGAGUCACGUCGCAGAAUGAAGACCCCACUGUGCCGCUCCUCACUUCAGACUCUCUCAUUCCCCUCCCCUGCUACCCUCAGAUCUUCCGGGCUCUGCAUCAUCAGGUCUCUCGCCCUCCACGGGCCUUUAGCCUUGAAGACACCUGCAUCCCACGGUGAGCUGGGUUCAGUCCCCAGCUCUGACUCCAGCUUCCUGCUGAUGCACACUCGGGGAGGCAGCAGUGAUGGCUCAAGUUGGGGUCCUGCCACCCACAUGGGAGACCUGGACUAGGUCCCUGGUCCCUGUCUUCCACCCCCCUGUUGCAGCAGGUGUUUGGGGCAUGAACCAGCAGAUGGGAGCUCUCUCUCUUUGUUGUCUCUCUCUUUCUGCUUCUCUUUGCCUUGCAGAAAAAUAAAACAACCCCCCAGACAAGCAGGAGGCGGCCUCCUCCUGCUCUGUCCCCCUCAGCCGUCCCUGCCACGCUGACCUCCCCAGGCGCUCCCGUGCUGUCCCGAGGCCAGACCUCCUGCUUCCUCUCCCACACCCUUCACCUGGCUGGUCCUGCUGCCUGCAGGACUUCUUCCUCCAGGAGCCUGGGUCACAGGCUCCUCUUCUGUGCCCUCUGUGUGCACAGCUGUGACCCUGUCAGAUCUCUGUAUCCCAGCUGACUCUGGUGCAGCAGGGGCUCGGGCCAUUGUCCGGUUUAGGGCUGGGACUAUGGUGGUAGGUAAGAGGGCAUGGGGCAGGCCAGGACCCCCAGAAGGAGUGGGCAGGACCAGGUAGAGCAGUUUAUAUAGCACAGUCCAGGAAUCUCAAUGCUGGUUCCUUAGGGACCAGAGACCAGGGUCUUUUUUUUUUUUCUGACAAAGGGAAAACAGAGUAGCUGUCUGCUGUUCUCUCCCCAAAUGCCUGCAACAAGCCGGGGCUGAACCAGGCCAAAGCUGAGAGCCCGAAACUCAAACCUAGGCUUCCCAUGUGGGCAGCAGGGACCCAAGACUAGAAGCAAACCUGCUGCCUCCCAGGGUCUACAUCUGCAGGAAGGAGGAGUUGGGAGCCAGAGCUGGGUGUUGAACCCAGGUACUCGAAUGGGGUACCUAUCCAGCCUCUUAACCGCUUGGCCAAACGCCCACCCCAAAACCAGGGUCACAAAGGUUAGAACCAGCUAAAGAAGCUGAAAUCCCACCUCAGCAAGGCCAGGGAGAGGGUGGGGCUCAGAUGCCUUGAGCUCUGUCCCAGACAGGGGCCUUGGGGCUGGAGCCUGGGCUGGGGGUCUCAGGAGUCAGGAUCUCUCUCCUACAGGCCUGCCUUCAGCUGCACACACUUUUGGAUCUGUCCCCCUGUGGAGACCACGCUUGGGCUGAGCCUGGGAGACUUCUCGCCAGAGGCAAGUGGCCAGACUGGCCAGAACUGCUGCAGAAGGUGGGGCGGACGCCCCAGAGAAUUGACGACCAGGGCAGUGAAGCGCGGAGCGGACAAAUGUGUUUCUAUAGGCCUCUUAACGAGACAAAUGAAUGGGGGCCCUGGCCUCUGAAGGGAGCAGAGGGAAGGGGGUGGAGAAGCAGCUGCCCAGAGUUAGCCCAGGGGCCCGGCGGCAGUGCUAGGUCAGCUCCUGUGGAGACCUGGGCCUGCACUUGGCACCGUUCCCACAGCCCCCGGCCUUGGGGCUCCUCAGGAGGGGAUGCUGGGAGGCCAGAGGUGGUCCUGAGCCGAGGCAGGAGUUUUGGACAGAAAGAACCCACGUGGGCCUGCCUUGGGACACACUCGCCCCACCUCGUGGAGCCCCAGGCCUGUGGGCAGUGCGGAAGCAGUGACCCCAGCAUCUCAGGAGGGAGGGGAAGUGGGGCACCUGAAGUUCAGUGAGCGGGCAUUCACUGACGGGGGUACUGCACGCUGAGGCAAGCUGGGGAGAGGAGGCAGGAACAGCCCCGGGCUUUGCCGCGGAGCUCACGGAGAGCAGGCAUCGUGGCACAGGCAGGACCCAGGAGCAGAUGCGAGCCGGGCCCUGGUUACGGCCCAGUCGCUCAGAGUCCUGGGAGCCCAGAGCAGGAUCUCUGGUGGCUGGAGGGCUGGGGGCUGGGUGGACCAGGCCUGCAGCGCUGAGCUGAGGGUGUGUCUGUUGUGCUGUUCCCCCUCCCCCAGCCUUGACGCUGCUGGCAGGGCGGAGCGCCCUCCCCCUUGCGCCUCUGGGAGGCCGGUCUAGACUCUGCCCUCUGUGGGACUUCCGGCAGGUCGCUUUCUCUCUCUGGGCCUGUUUUCCUAUUGUGCAGUUCAGGGAGUCACUCCUACCUGGAGAGGGUAACUGGAGUCACGUGAAUGAGGCACCCAGCACCUCACAUGUACUUCUCCUCUGGGGCCACAACCUGGAGCUCCCCGUGGGUCCCUGGGAGCCGGGGGGUGGUACCAGGGACAGUCACGGGAGCCAUGGCUGUGUCCUCAGCUCAUCAGAUAGUUCAUUCAGGGCUUGGGAAAUUCUCCUUUCCGGGAGUUCCUCUCGCCGCCCAGUGUCUGCUCCCUGCUCCUGUGCGUGUGUGUGCUCCACAGGGAAGGCACAACAUAGCAAUCAGUCUCCCCGGGGAGAAGGCUUGGAAGUGGCCCAGUUUGGCUAUCCCUGGCUGGACCCCUGCAACCCUCCCUGGAGGCCUGCUCUGCCCCCACCCUGGGUAGCUUCCUCUUGCCUGACCAGGCAAGACCCAAAGGAGGGAGGUGGCCGUGGGCCCAGCAAGUUCGUGCUGUGCUCUCACCACAGUCCUUGGCCUUGCUCGGAAAACACUGCGAGAGUAGGAAGGUGGUGAGCCUGGAGCGGUCAGGCAGGAGAAGGUCUGGGGGCAGAGUGUGUCAGCUCUGUGCUCCCCAAGAUUCUCAGUGAACCGAAGGGGAGAGGAAGAGCUGGGGGUUGGCACAGAAGCUGUGUGGGCUGCCCUGGGGUGGGAAGGGUGGAUUCCAGGGGAGCAAGGGCGGGGUGGGGUCUGCCCGUCCAGCCCCCUGGCUGCACUGGCUUGGGCAGCACUGCCGUGCCCGCCUGGGCUGGGAGGUGGGAGGGCAGGGCGCUGGCGCUGGCGCCUCUGCACCUUGCAAGGGAGCAGGGGUUCUGCCCCCACCACCGCCCAGGGCCUCAGGCACCUUGCAGCCUCCCCUGGGCUCUGGGCAGCCAGCAGGACCCACACCUGGCCCUCCUCCGGCUUCUGGGUUCUUUGUUUGGUGUGCAGGCCCCGCCCUGCCCCGCCCCCAGGCUCGCUUGCCCAGCCAUUCCAGUUCAACGGGUUCCAGCCUCUGGUUUCAGCAGCGGACACGUUGAGGCAGGAGCCAGCAGGCCCGGGGACUUUCUGCCCAGGGUUUCUCUGCCCGUGAUGUGUGAGGGGCUGCAGUCUCUUCCCCCCAUUCCUUCCUCAGCACCCCCGGGUGCCUGCGACUGGGUCAGACCCUGAGAACGGACAGGAAAUAGGACUGGCGGGGGCUCUGCUCUUCCCAGCGGGUGUUCAAGGCAGAGAAGCGGUUACUAAACCCCAGAGACUACAAAAGCCAUAACCUCAUACAUGCACCUAAUAAGCCGUGAGCAAGUUAUUACCUCACACACCUCUGUAGCACGCCGUGAGCUGUGCUGUGGUUGGCAGAGGGCUCGGGGCCGGGACUGAGUCAGUGUGGGGUGAGGUGGUGGCGGGAACCCCGGAUGAUGUUUACCUGGAGAUGGGAAAGUGAGUAAGAGUGAGUGGGUGGACAGGCAGCUUAAGAGGCCCUCAGUCAAAGGAGCAACUGUGCAAAGGCCCGGAGGCCACAGGUGACGGUGCUUGUCCAGGGCUCUGGGGAGAGUGGCUGCGGCAGACCUGCCAGGGCUUUGUCUGCCAUGAUAGGCAUUUUAUACGUCUGGUUCGGAGGGUGGGAGGCCCUUGGAGAGCUCUGAUGAGGAGCGAGGCUCUCAGGGUGUCCUGGCUGCUGAGUGUGGGAGGGGUGAGGCUGGAGGCCGGGACAUCAGCUCCUUAGGCCAGGGAAGAGUGCAGCAGCCCGGGAGGAGAGGGGGUGUGGCUCUCUGAGGUCCUCUGGUAUGGGGAGGACUGCAUAGUUGGGGGGGGGCUGCACAGGGGACAGCCCCAGGGAACCCUGGGUAGGAGGUCCCCGCAGGACAGGCUGUGCAGACAGUUGCAUGCUGGUGUCCCGAGCCUCCUUCCUAGGGCAGUUGGGGGAAGGGCGAGGAGACAGGUUCUGAAAACCCUGUGACCUCCUUGCCCUGGGCCCACAGGCUCACGCGUGCUUCCCCACUGAGGCUGCCCUGCACCCACCCUGCUCCGGCUCCCCUGGAACAGCUGCCCUCACCCACCCUAGGUCUUCCAAAGGCAGAGUCAGCUGGGGUCCUAGUUUCCUUUCUGCACGGAGGCAGAAAGCUGGGGAUUUUGAAUGCUGGAUCAAGCCCUGGCUCCAUCUCCAGUCCCUCUGUGCCUCCAUUUCCCCAUCUCUAAAAUGGGCAUGAUACUUCCACCUACCUAUGGGGUUGCUUUAAGAGUGGUGAAGCUAAUGAGGGGGUGGCUGCACGGACGGAGGACGCAGCACGUGCAGAGCAGCAUACACACGUUGUUUGUCGCCUGCACAGACCCCUUGUCCCCAGCAGGUGAGAAAAUAGGCUCAGGGAAGGUGAGUGUUGUGUAAUCACCACACGGAACCCCAGAACACACAGGCCAGGGGUUUUCCAUAAAUUCUCCUCCCUGCUCUCUCUGCCUGCAGCUCCCACCCCCUCAGCGCUCUGGUGCCCUGGACCCUUCUCUCCUUGGCGACUGUGCCCCACCUGCUGCCCCUCUGUCUCCUGGAUCAGCGCUCUAUAUCUCUCUGUGCUAAGCCUUUCCUUUAUUUAUUUGGAAGUCAGAGAUAGCGAGAGAGGGGGAGAGACAGAGAGAAAGGUCUUCCAUCCGUUGUUUCACUCCCUGCAUGCCCACAAUAGCCAGGGCUGGGCCAGGCCAAAGCCAGGAGCCUGCAGCUUCAUCUGGAUCCCCCUACCUGGGUGCAGCGGUCCAAGUGCUUGUGCCCUCUUCCUAUACUUUCCCAGGCACUAAUAUUAGCAGGGAGCUGGAUCCAGAGUAGAAUAUAGAAAGCUGGCAUCCCAGGCAGUGGCUUAUCCCACUGCACCCCACACUUUUAUUUAAAUAUUAUCUCGUGUCUUUUUUUUUAAUAUUUAUUUAUUUAUUUAUUUGAGAGCGUUACAGAGAGAGAGAGAGAAGUCUUCCAUCCUCUGGUUCACUCCCCAAUUGGCCGCAACGGCUGGAACAGCGCCUAUCCAAAGCCAGGAGCUAGAAUCUUCUUCAGGUCUCCCAUGUGGGUGCAGGGGCCAAAGCACUUGGACCAUCUUCUAUUGCUUUCCCAGGCCAUAGCAAAGCUGGAUAAGAAGUGGAGUAGCGAGGACUCAAACAGGUGCUCAUAUGGGAUGCUGGCACUACAGACGGCAGCUUUACCCAUUAUGCCAUAGCACUGGCCCCACUUGUGUUUUAAGAAGAAAAAGAUGGCUGGUGCCGCAGCUCACUUGGCUAAUCCUCCGCCUGUGGUGCCAGCACCCCAGAUUCUAGUCCCAGUUGGGGCGCCGGAUUCUGUCCCGGUUGCUCCUCUUCCAGUCCAGCUCUCUGCUGUGGCCCGGGAAGGCAGUGGAGGAUGGCCCAAGUGCUUGGGCCCUGCACCCACAUGGGAGACCAGGAGGAAGCACCUGGCUCUUGGCUUCGGAUUGCGCCGGCCGUGGCGGCCAUUUGAGGGGUGAACCAAUGGAAGGAAGACCUUUCUCUCUCUGUCUCUCUCUCUCUCUCACUGUCUAACUCUGCCUGUCAAAAAAGUAAAAUGAAAAAAAGAAGAAGAAAAAGAUAAGCAGGGGCUGUGGUGAAGUGGGUAAACCUGGCUGCUCCACAUCCGACCCAGCUCUCUGCUAUGGCCUAGGAAAGCAGUAGAGGAUGGCCCAAGUGCUUGGUCCCCUGCACCUGCGUGGGAAAGCCAGAAGAAGCUCCUGGCUCCUGGCUUCGGGCUUCGGAUCGGCACAGCUCCGGCCGUUGUGGCCAACUGGGGAGUGAACCAGCAGACGGAAGACCUCUCUCUCUCUCUCUCUCUCUCUGCCUCUGCCUCUAUAACUCUGCCUUUCAAAUAAAUAAAUGAGUCUUAAAAAAAAAGAAAAAAGUGGAGGGGGCGCUGUUGUAAUGUAGCCGAUAAAGCUGCCACCUGCAAUGCUGGCAUUCCAUAUGGGCACUGGCUCAAAUCCCAGCUGCUCCACUUCCAAUCCAGCUCCUGCUAAUGUCCUGGGAAAAGCAGCAGAGGAUGGCCAAAGUGUCUAGGCCCCUGUCACCCACAUUGAAGACCCCCAUGAAGCUCCUGGUUUGGCCUGGCCCAGCCCUGGCCAUUGCAGCCAUCUGGGGAGUGAACCAGCAAAUGGAAGAUCUCUCUCUGUCUCUCUCUCUGUCUCCCUUUCUCUAACUCUGACUUUCAAGUAAAUACAUUUCUUUUUUUUUUUUUUUUUAAUGUACAAGCCUCCCCCUAGCCCUCUUCCCCCCCAAAUCCCAGCUCCUCACGCGGCCCUGUGCUGUCCACUUCCUCACCUCCCACUCUCUCCUCAGCCUGGCUUCAGCCCCCAGCACCCCACCACCUUGCUCCUGGCAGGGCCCCCACAAUCCCAGGUGAACUUUUGUGUGCCAGCUGAUUUGGAGUC